UUGACCUCAAAUCGGGUGGGACUACCCGCUGAACUUAAGCAUAUCACUAAGCGGAGGAAAAGAAACUAACAAGGAUUCCCCUAGUAACGGCGAGUGAAGAGGGAAAAGCUCAAAUUUUGAAUCUGGUGUCUUUGGCGCCCGAGUUGUAAUCUAGAGAAGUGUUUUCCGCGUUGGACCGUUCACAAGUUUUCUGGAAUGAGGCUUCAUAGAGGGUGAGAAUCCCGUAUCUGGAACGGACUACCAAUGCUCUGUGAUACACUCUCAACGAGUCGAGUUGUUUGGGAAUGCAGCUCAAAAUGGGUGGUAAAUUCCAUCUAAAGCUAAAUAUUGGCGAGAGACCGAUAGCGAACAAGUACCGUGAGGGAAAGAUGAAAAGCACUUUGGAAAGAGAGUGAAACAGUACGUGAAAUUGUUGAAAGGGAAGCGUUUGAAGUCAGUCAUAUCUGUCGGGAUUCAGCUUGGCUUUUGCCUUGUGUACUUUCCGUCCGAUGGGUCAGCAUCAAUUCAGACCGAGGGAAAAAGGCGUUUGGAAUGUGGCUGUCUUCGGGCAGUGUUAUAGCCUCGCGUUGUAUGUCUCGGUUGGGAUUGAGGAACGCAGCGCGCCACUUAAUUGGCCGGGGGUUAAGUCCUCUCGUAUCGCGCUUAGGAUGCUGG
rnacentral:rRNA from 1 species